GCUCCCGCGAUGGAGGGAUGUGCGGGCGGGCUAGGAUUCCGUGGUUAAGCCUGUGGCCUCUGGAGCCGCGAGUUUGAAUCCUGGUUGCAGCUGUUCCACUUACUAGCUCUGUGGCCAUGGGUAAGGUGCCCAUCCUCAGUUUCUCCGUCUGCAAAAUGAAAGCGAAUUCUUAGUGUUGUUGUGGACUCAUGAGAUGAUGCAUGGAAGCAAGGGCGAAGUCGCUGUAGCUUUCUUUAUUUAUGAGAGAAAAGGAGCUGCCCAGGUGAGAGGACAAAAACCCGAGAAAACAGACCCGGAAAAGAUGGUUUUGGUUGCGGGCUAGGAAGGAGAUGUAGCAGAUGAAGCUGGAGAAGUCCGAAGGAGGCCUUAAAUUUUGCAGGGCCUCCUUGGUGUGGGAAGGAGUUUGGUUUCUGCAGUGGUGAAGAACCAUGGAAGUACCGUAUUUAGCAGGGGAUUUUGUGCAGGUCACUCAGCUCCUGCGUGGAGAAUAAGGCGGGGAUGGAUGUGCUAAAGGCAGAUCGAUGCUUAGGUAUUGCAGGACUAGAGAGAAGGGAAUGGGCACCUGGAUGAAAGGGUGAUGCGGGGGCGGGGGUAGACAAUAGUGGAUUGUUUUAAAAGAAAUUGUGAGGGAGAGGGAGUUAAGGAUAAAUAUUCUGUUUGAGUAACUGCAUGCAUGUUUGCACCUUUCAGGGAGAGCUAGGAAAUGCUGAAGGGGUGGGCAGUAGAGAGGCAGAUGUUUAGAUUCAGACAGGCUCCCAACCCAGUGAAGAUCAAAGCUGUGAUAGAAAGGAUCGCUGGGUCAGCUCAGCUGGCAGGCCAAGCCCCACGGUAUCUGAAGUUUCCCUGGAGGUUGCUCAGGGCACAUGGGAGUGUGGAAUGUAGCAACCAUUUUGUGCAAACGUUAGGGACUCCAUAAGCCUCUAAAAAAUUAGCAAUUGUAUGAGGACUCCGGACCAGAAGAAUGUGGCUAGCAUUCCAGGCAAGACAGGAUGGAAUUUUCACUGUCCUUCAACCAACUGAAAGGCUCCAAUAAAGUCUUGGGUAUUUACCCUGAACCAGCCAAGGCUUUGGAGUCACUGGCAGGAAUCCGAGUAUCUAACUGUUUUCAGGGCAGAAUAGAUGGGGAGGGUACGGCUGUGGAAGACACAUGCAUUUCCACUUUCUUCUGUAAAUGCAGCUCAGUGUUCCCGGAUGCAAUGAUAAAGAUGUCUAGGAUUUGCUUCAAAACAAAACAAAGGGAUGGGGAAGCAGAUGGGAGUGUAGAUGAGUCAAAAGUGGCCGCAAGUUACUAAUUGUUAAAGCCACGUAAUGGGGAUGUGGAGAUUCGUUGUACUGUCUCUAUAUUGUUGUGGAUGUUUAAUGGGGAUGUGGAGAUUCAUUGUACUGUUUCUAUAUUUUUGUGGAUGUUGAAAAAUAUUUUCUUCUUUCUUUUUUUUUUUUGAGAUGGAGUCUCCCUCUAUUGCCCAGGCUGGAGUGCAGUUGUGCAAUCUCUGUUCACUGCAACCUCCGCCUCCCGGGUUCAAGUGGUUCUCCUGCCUCAGCCUCCCAAGUAGCUGGGACUACAGGCAUGUGCCACCAUGCCUGGCUAACUUUUGCAUCUUUAGUAGAGAUGGGGUUUUACCAUGUUGGCCAGGCUGGUAUCGAACUCCUGACCUUGUGAUCCGCCCACCUUGGCUUCCCAAAGUACUGGAAUUACAGGCAUAAGCCACCACACCCGGCCGAAAAAUAUAUUUAAAAAGGUAAGAAACACACAAGACAAGCAGCUUGGACUUAUCUUCUCCAUGAUACCUACCCAGUAUCCCUGUGAGCAGCUGACAUUCCUUUCUCCAAGCAGUUGCUGUAUUUUGAACAUUGCUCGAGCAAGAAACUUUUUAUAAUGGGUUUAUUUAUCCAUGUCACCUGCUAUACUAUGUUUAUUGUAGCUCAGCAUGAUUUCCAGGUACCAAGCACAGUACUUGGUGCGUAAUAGUGCUAACUGAAUGUUGGAUGGAUGGAGGGAUUAAAAAAAAGAAAAACACCUGAAUAUCAGACACUUAAUAAAUGUUUCUUGGGAGGCCGAGAUGGGCGGAUCACGAGGUCAGAAGUUCGAGACCAGCCUGGCCAACAUGGUAAAACGCCGUCUCUACUAAAAAUACAAAAAUUAGCUAGGUGUGGUGGCAGGCACCUGUAAUCCCCACUGCUCAGGAGGCUGAGGCAGGAGAAUCACUUGAGCCCGGGAGGCAGAGGUUGCAGUGAGCCGAGAUCACGCCAUUGCACUCCAGCCUGGGUGACAGAGCAAGACUCUGUCUCAAAAAAAAUAAAAAAUAAAAUAAAUAAAUGUUUUCUGAACUGUAUUCUCUAUCUGUUCUUAGUUAAUUUGUGUUUGCCAUUUUUAAAGUCAAAAACCAGGGAGAGUUCUCUACACAAUGUAAAUAUUUGAUAAGUACUUAUUAAUUGCUUAUUGUGCUAGUCUAUUCUUUAAAUAUCAGAGGUUCCAAAACAAAGAGCUCCAAUAGUAGGAUCACAGUCAGGUAACCAAUUAUCCGAGUAGGAAGGUUGCCUUAGUUGAAGUAACUGGAGGUGAAUGGGGAUUUGUCAGGCAGGCUCUUCCAGAUAAAGGUGAACCUUCCCUGUUGUUUUGAUAGAAGGAGGAAAUGGAAUGACCAUCAAGAGAAAGGUAGUUGCUGGCUUGAGAGGAUCAUCUGUGCAACAGGCAGCUAAGCAGAAGAAGACUUUAUAUAUAUUUUUAAUACCACCCACACUGUUGCUAGUAUUCCCCACCACUCCAUUGGCCUGGUGAACUCUUAUUCAUCCUUCAAAACCCAGCUUAACCAUGGCCUUCAGGAAAUCUUGAGCUGGCUUCCCAGGACAGAGUGGGUCAGUCCUCUGCAUGCUCCUGCUGCUGUGCUGUACUCACCAUACUGUACUGUAAUUUACUGGUUUGUAAGUCAUUUCCACUGCUGGGUUGUGAGCUCCUCCAAGGCAGGGGCUUUGCCUUAUCUGCCUAUGUUCCCAGGACUUACACAGUGCCUGAUGUGUAGUAGGUACCCCAUGAAUGUUUUACAUAAUUAGCAGGAGCGUAUCAGGUAAAUUAGCAAAGCAAACUGUGGGAUGUGGGAUGUCAGACAAUAGGAGUAGGUGGGCUUAUGGGAGCUGAAGAGCACAUGCUCCUCAGCUCUGAUUGAUUGCUCUGUGCGAUAGGGGCCCAGUGGUGGUGGAUCUAACAACUUUUUAAGAGAUUCUGACAAUUCAGACUUUACAUGUUGAAUAUUCCGGAUUUUCAACAUUA
rnacentral:lncRNA from 1 species